rnacentral:lncRNA from 1 species
UGCUUCUUGAUUUCUUGUCUUUCUUCUUUUUUUCUUUUCUAUUUUUUCCCCAAAUCUCUGAUGUUAACAGUGAGGAGUGAUUUAUUUGUUGGGGGAUAAAGAAAAUAGUGUCUCUGUCCUGAGUUUGUAUCUAUCAUUGUAUUUAAAUGAACUUUUUUUCUGAUAGGCAGAAUCAAUUUGUGAACCACAUUUGAUCCCCUCAGUCCAAUUAUUGCAGAAGCUGCUUCCUGGCUCAGGUGGUGCAUGAUUUGUCCCUUUACUGAUGAUGAUGUUCACUUUGAUCACAUGAUUAAGGUGUUGUCAGUCAGACUUCUUCAUUGUGCAGUUACACUUUUCCCUUUGAAAUUCGUAAGUAUUUGAUGGGGAAAAACUUUCAAACUAUGUAAAUAUCCAGUUUAUCAUCAAACUUUCAGUUUAUCCGUUUAUUUAUUUAAAUCAGUAUGGACUCAGAGUUUCCUAGUUUAUUCAAUAUGUUAUAACCCAUUACUAUAUCUUUUAAUUUUGAUAUUCAAAUUGUCUAUGCUGAAACAUGUUUCUAGAACAUUACUACUUAAAAACUGUUCACAAUUAUUUCAUUUGGGAAGAAAGACUAGUGAUUGGGAGUGGAUAAAAAAGAAAUUUUACCUUUUAAAUACCUUUCUAUUAUCUUUGAUUUUUAAAAAAUUCUAUUUCCCACCGUAUUUUGUUUUAAGAAAAUGUCAGAAGAGGUUCUCUGGGCCAUAACAUUAGGGCUGUGAUGCUCAACUCUGACAAAAUGUUAUAAUUUGUUAAAAAAAAAAAAAAAAAAAAAAAAAAAAAACCAUUGCCAGGGCCUCAUUCCCAGAGUUUGAUGUAAUUUGUUCUCAGGUGGGGCUUGGGUAUCUAUAUUUUAAAAAAUUCCUCCAGUGAGCACUCUGGGUUGAGAAUUACUAGAUUAGGUAUGAACAAGAUCAGCUAUAUAAUUUGCAGGGUUCAGGACAAAGUGAAAAUGAGAGGCUUCCUGUUGAAACUCAUUAAGAAUUUCAAAAUGGUGAUAUCAAAUUAUUAAACUAAGAGUUUUAAGCAUGGGGGCCCUGUGAGAAUGCACAGCAUGCAUGUUCAUGAAACGAGUCCUGGGCGAGGAUAUAUACCACAUUCGGUAUAAGAAAGAAAACUACGCAAAUCAAAGGUAUACAGGCAUAAAGAAAUGGUACCAUGAGAAACAAUGGCAUAGACAUGGACAAGUAUCCAUGUGCUUUCCCUGAUUUUCCAGCUGUCUUGCAGUUAGAUGAGGACACAUGACCAGGCCUAGACAAUGGGCAGUGGGCAGAAGUGACGAAGAGCAGGUUUGAGUUCUUCAUGAUUUGUCUGAGGUCUAGAUCUGAGACAGUGUUUCCAUGAAGGUGCCGCUUGCCUCAGUGUGGUAGCCUGAGAGAAUGUGUGAAGCAGAACUCCCCGGCAAUUCUCAUAAGUUGUGUACCAUGAGCAAGAAAUAAAUCUUUUUUAUACAAAGCCAAAGAAAUUUGUUACAGCAGCAUAGUUUUAACCUAUUCUGACAAAUACCAAAAGAUACAGUUUAAAUGCUGUAGGGUGUCAGAGGAAAAAGAGCUGACUUCUUGCUGUAGGUAUCAGGCAAUACUUCAUGGAGGAUGGUAUAUUUGAAAUGGAAUGGGUAGAAUUUGCACAUGUAGAGUUGGGAAGACAAAAAUUGGAUUAAUUAACUAUUACUUCAUCGAAAACCACUCCACAUGUUAGUGGCAGCAAACAACCACCAUCUACUAUUUCCCAUGAGACUAAGGACCCAAUAGGUGGUUCUGCUCUUCUGGGCUGCAUUCAGGUAAUACAGACUGGCCUUUCUCAUGCAUCUGUGUUCAGCUGCUGGGAUGGCUGAGGGCUGGCUGGUUUAGGUUGGCCUCACUCACAUGUCUGGAGGUUGGCUGGCUGUCGUCCUCCAGCAGGCUAACAUAUGUGGUGGUGGCAGGACCCUAAGAGACAGAAUGGAAGCAUGCCAGGCCUCUCUAGGCUUAGGCCCAGAAUGAGCACAUUGUGACUUGCACUACAUUCUAUUGGUCAAAGCAAGUCAUAACACCAGCCUAGAAUCAAAGUGUGGGGAAAGAGUCUCCACUUCUUGAUAUCAUAUUUCUGGUACUUGGGAGAUAUUCAACAUUUGUGAAAUAAAUACAUAAUGAACUAGGUUCCCUGGAUAUUAGCUUUUUGGAUCUCAGUCCUUGGACUUCCGCACUUCCCUGUCUACAUGACCUACCUACGUAAUCUCAUCCUGUAUUCCCAAUUGUAUGUAUCUCUUCCCUGAAAUAUCAAUCUCUUUCCAUAAAACCAACUGCCUACUCCAUAUCUCACUAACUCUGUAAUAGGCAGCUUUUGCUUAACAUGUGCAAACCUAGACUCCUCAUAUUCCUCUCCCCCAGAUGGUUUCCUCCCAUAGUUUCAAUUUCAGUUCAUGGUAGCUACAUUGUUCUAGUUGCUCAGACCACAAACCUCGAAGUCAUCUUGGCCUCGUUUCUUUCUCUCAUACCCCAUGACCAAUCCGUUAGCCAAUCUUGUUAACCCUACCUUCCUUUCAUGGCCAGGGUACAAUUACUUUCACCCUCUCUACCACUAUCAUCAGGUUCAAACCAUCCUAAUCUGUUUGCCUUCAUUAUUGCAAUAGGUUUCUAUCCCAUCUCUAUCCUUGCUUCUGCUCUGACCUCUGCUCUUAAUGUUUUCACACAGUCUCCAAAGUGCUCUUUUAAAUAUCAGAGUCAUUUAAUGUCACCCUCUGCUUAAGGGCUCCCAGGAGUUUCUCAUCUCAUGGAAAGCAGAAGUCCAUUUACAAAGGCUUCCAAGGCCCCACAUGAACUGUUUUCCUAUUCCCACUUUGCACUCCUUCCCUACUCCUCUUUGGACUUUGUUCACUCAGCCCAGCCACACUGGCCUCCUUAUUGCCCCUAGAACACAGUAGCAUGCACCUGCCUGGGGGCUUCACUUUUGUUCUCUCCUCUGCCUGGAAUGCUCUUCCUCCUGAUAGCUGCAUGCCUCCCUUGCUUAUUUCUUUCAAAUUUCUACCCCAGUGACUUCUUCAUACCAAUAAGGACUUUCUACACCUCUGUAUUUAAAUAGCCCCCAAUAAACUAUCUCUGCAUCUCACUCUGUUUUUCAUUAUUAUUAUUAUAUUUUAAGUUCUAGGGUACAUGUGCACAAAGUGCAGGUUUGUUACAUGUGUAUACAUGUGCCAUGUUGGUGUGCUGCACCCAUUAACUUGUCAUUUACAUUAGGUAUAUCUCCUCCUCCCUGCCCCCACCCCACAACUUCUCCGUAGCCCUUCCAGCCUUUGACAUAUUCUAUAUUUACCUGUUGUUUGUUUGUUGUCUGAUUCUUUGUACUAGAACAUUAAUUUCAGGCAGGCAGGAACAGUUUUUUUUUCUACUUGAAUAUCUCCAGAGCCUAGAAAAGCUUAGAAGUGUUUUAUAAAUGAAUGAAUAAAUAGAGGUAGAGAUUCUUACAAUGGGUGAGAGACUAGGUGAGGUAAUCUGGAAGAUCAUUGCAACUCAAAUAGCCUGUGGCACCAAUAGAAGUAGAAAUUGAAUUGUUUGGCCGGGCACGGUGACUCA